CAGAUAAACGAAGUGUGAACCCAGGAGAUAAACUCAGCAUCACAUGUAAUUAUCCAAGUAACAAAUACAAUUCCUGGGUCAAGCUUUUCUGCAAAGAGAACGAUUUCAACUGUGAAGAUAUUUUAUCAACUAAAUCUGCUCCGAAGACAAACAAGACAUUCACUCUGACAGUCACAGACAGAGGCUUCCACAUGUCCAUCAGUCCGGUGUCCCCACAGGACGCUGGAGUCUACUGGUGUGGAGUCCAGUCACCUAACGGAAAUAUGAGAGUUACAUUCAGACAAAUACAACUGGAGGUUAACGUGACUCCAAGGACGACAACGGCCUCCACCACCUCACCCACAGCUCAUCAUCCAACGUCAGAUCCUGCCGUGGCUGAGGGUGAAAAUGAGAAAGAUGGCUUUUGGGUGCCUGACGUCAUCGCUGCAGUCGUCUGCUCAGUGAUGCUGGUGAUUCUGGUCAUUUCGGCUUUUGUCUAAACACGGGACCAUGUCUUUGUGGAGACGGGCAGCCGGAGACACAAGGGUCCUUCCAGAAGUCAGACACAAGAGCUGCAAUGAAAAGGCUUCAUGUUUCUGCCAACUUCCGCACAAACCCCUCAUGCUUUCAUUACUCCAAAUCAAAUUUAGAACUGCUAAUGAAACCAAGUGCAUGCACCCUAAUCUGACACUCCUGCAUUAAAACCUUCCCUAUCGACGUCUCUAAUGUUCAGUUGAAAGGUCAGACAGGUGGUGGUUCACCUGAAUGAUCAUUUUGGAGGGUGUAGUUUGUGGUCCUGUCAAAAUAUUAGGAACAUCUGUCAGUUCAAUAUUACUACAAACCACGGCCUCCACAAUGUAAGCACUGUUGAAUUCAUUUUAUUUGCUUUGCUGAAGUAUAGUGAUAGGACAACAUGUGUUCAGUAACACAGUUGCUGACCAAGUCAGCAAUGUUGUGAACUGUGUUCAAGAUUGAUGUGUCUAACGCCAACAAACUGCUCAAGUGUAUCUAAAACUAUUGUGGUUGAUAGUAUGUAAGAAAUGAUGCUUUUUUGCAGCAGCAGCUUUGUUUUUUUUGUUUUUUUGUUGUUGUUUUGUUUGUUGUUGCCUUUGCUACUGUUGUACUAAUGUUUGAGUGGCUGUCUUAACUGGUCUGGAUAAACUUGAUCCGUAUGGGUAUAUGGUUACAUGAAUACUGUGGAGGGACUUCACCUACAAAUCAAACACACGUGCAAAUAUAGAUUAUUUAAGAAAGUUUGAUAUAAAGUAGGCACUGUACAAAUAAACCUUAUUUUCUUUGAUGAACACCUACAUUUACUAUAAUCACUAACAACAACAUCCUGCCAUUCAUUAAAUCAUUCCUUCCUUUGAACAGAAAUCUCACAUUGCAUAUAUAUAACCUGCUGCAAC